GCUCGGCUUUACUCGAAGGAGCGUCUGCGUGCACCUGCCCGGCUUUGCCCGCGUGCGUUUGAGCGCAGCACGCGGACGACACGCGGACCCAGGCGGCGCGCGACGGUGUUAGCGGCCUCAGGGAGUACCGGGUUACCAUGGCAACGAGCACCGCAGUUCAGCCAAGGUGCCGACACGCGUCCGCUGGUUCGGAGGCAGAACCGCUCAUCUGUCACAAUGAGAUUUCCAUGAUGGCUCCAGUCCUUCACUGCAGGACACGCUCAUUUCCUUAACAAUAGGUGACAUCUGGACAGCGGUGUCACCUUCUAGGAGGAGACGGACACUUUCCACAGGGCUAAAACAUUUCAGUCAUCAAGCUCCUUCCAUGAGCGUUCCUCCUGCUCGCAGUCCAGCAGUUGAACCUCCCUCUUCUGUCUUAUACUCA